GACGAACGCUGGCGGCGUGCCUAAUACAUGCAAGUCGAGCGGACCGAAUGGAAGCUUGCUUCUGUUCGGUUAGCGGCGGACGUGUGAGUAACACGUGGGUAACCUGCCCGUAAGACCGGGAUAACUCCGGGAAACCGGGGCUAAUACCGGAUAACACCGAAGACCGCAUGGUCUUUGGUUGAAAGGUGGCUUUUGCUACCACUUACGGAUGGGCCCGCGGCGCAUUAGCCAGUUGGUGAGGUAACGGCUCACCAAGGCGACGAUGCGUAGCCGGCCUGAGAGGGUGACCGGCCACACUGGGACUGAGACACGGCCCAGACUCCUACGGGAGGCAGCAGUAGGGAAUCUUCCGCAAUGGACGAAAGUCUGACGGAGCGACGCCGCGUGAGCGAAGAAGGUCUUCGGAUCGUAAAGCUCUGUUGUUAGGGAAGAAGAAGUACCGUUCGAAUAGGGCGGUACGGUGACGGUACCUAACGAGAAAGCCCCGGCUAACUACGUGCCAGCCGCCGCCGUAAAAC
rnacentral:rRNA from 1 species